CGUGUCAAGGCGGUUCCGUAAGUCAGACCGUGAAAGCUCUUGGCUUAACUGGGAGAGGUCGUUUGAUACUGCGGGGCUUGAGGUCGGGAGAGGGACGUGGAAUUCCCGGUGUAGUGGUGGAAUGCGUAGAUAUCGGAGGAACACCAGUGGCGAAGGCGGCGUCCUGGCCCGUACCUGACGCUAAGACGCGAAAGCGUGGGGAGCGAACG
rnacentral:rRNA from 1 species